rfam:TPA: Bos taurus chromosome 10, whole genome shotgun sequence.
UCCCUGGCAGUCUAGUGGUUAGAACUCCACACUUUCACUGCCGGGGGCCUGGGUUCAAUCCCUGGUCAGGGAA